AUUGAACGCUGGCGGCAGGCUUAAUACAUGCAAGUCGAGCGGAGAUGAGGUGCUUGCACCUUAUCUUAGCGGCGGACGGGUGAGUAAUGCUUAGGAAUCUGCCUAUUAGUGGGGGACAACAUUCCGAAAGGAAUGCUAAUACCGCAUACGUCCUACGGGAGAAAGCAGGGGAUCUUCGGACCUUGCGCUAAUAGAUGAGCCUAAGUCGGAUUAGCUAGUUGGUGGGGUAAAGGCCUACCAAGGCGACGAUCUGUAGCGGGUCUGAGAGGAUGAGCCGCCACACUGGGACUGAGACACGGCCCAGACUCCUACGGGAGGCAGCAGUGGGGAAUAUUGGACAAUGGGGGGAACCCUGAUCCAGCCAUGCCGCGUGUGUGAAGAAGGCCUUAUGGUUGUAAAGCACUUUAAGCGAGGAGGAGGCUACUGAGACUAAUACUCUUGGAUAGUGGACGUUACUCGCAGAAUAAGCACCGGCUAACUCUGUGCCAGCCGCCGCGGUAAUAC
rnacentral:rRNA from 1 species